rnacentral:ncRNA from 1 species
AAGCAGAUUCGGUGCUCCUUGUAAAAAGGAGGUAACAGGGAAAUCGGUGUGAAACCGAUGCGGUCCCGCCGCCGUAAUGCCGAGGAUGCCCCACCAUGUCACUGCGCGAGCGGGAAGACGGGGCGGACGAUGACGCAGAGCCGGAAGACCUACCGAAUCU